GCUUACGGCCACACCUCCCUGAGCACGAGCCCGAUCUCGUCUGAUCUCGGAAGCUAAGCAGGGUCGGGCCCGGUUAGUACUUUGGAUGGGAGACGCCUGGGACUACAGGUGCUGUAAGCC
rnacentral:rRNA from 1 species